AAAGAAAGAAAAAGAAAAGGAAAGAAAGAGAAAGAAAGAAAGAAAUAAAGGUCACGAAUUAACAAUUUACAUUUCCUGCUUCUUGUCAUCGGCGUCCUUGUCGUGGUUAGCCAAAGUCUAUUCCUUUUCCCUUAACACUUUUCUAAGUUGC
rnacentral:ribozyme from 1 species